rnacentral:rRNA from 1 species
GACAGAGGAUGCAAGCGUUAUCCGGAAUGAUUGGGCGUAAAGCGUCUGUAGGUGGCUUUUUAAGUCCGCCGUCAAAUCCCCAGGGCUCAACCCUGGACAGGCGGUGGAAACUACCAAGCUGGAGUACGGUAGGGGCAGAGGGAAUUUCCGGUGGAGCGGUGAAAUGCGUAGAGAUCGGAAAGAACACCAGUGGCGAAGGCGGCUCACUGGCCCGUUACCGACGCUCAGGCGCGACAGCGUGGGAGCAAACAGGG